rnacentral:rRNA from 1 species
UACGUAGGUGGCAAGCAUUGUCCGGAAUUAUUGGGCGUAAAGCGCGCGCAGGCGGCCUUUUAAGUCUGAUGUGAAAGCCCACGGCUCAACCGUGGAAGGUCAUUGGAAACUGAAAGGCUUGAGUACAGAAGAGGAAAGCGGAAUUCCACGUGUAGCGGUGAAAUGCGUAGAGAUGUGGAGGAACACCAGUGGCGAAGGCGGCUUUCUGGUCUGUAACUGACGCUGAGGCGCGAAAGCGUGGGGGAGCAAACAGG